rnacentral:rRNA from 1 species
UGGGGAAUAUUGCACAAUGGGCGCAAGCCUGAUGCAGCCAUGCCGCGUGUAUGAAGAAGGCCUUCGGGUUGUAAAGUACUUUCAGCGGGGAGGAAGGGAGUAAAGUUAAUACCUUUGCUCAUUGACGUUACCGACAGAAGAAGCACCGGCUAACUCCGUGCCAGCAGCCGCGGUAAUACGGAGGGUGCAAGCGUUAAUCGGAAUUACUGGGCGUAAAGCGCACGCAGGCGGUUGAUUGAGUCAGAUGUGAAAUCCCCGGGCUUAACCCGGGAAUUGCAUCUGAUACUGGUCAGCUAGAGUCUUGUAGAGGGGGGUAGAAUUCCAUGUGUAGCGGUGAAAUGCGUAGAGAUGUGGAGGAAUACCGGUGGCGAAGGCGGCCCCCUGGACAAAGACUGACGCUCAGGUGCGAAAGCGUGGGGAGCAAACAG